rnacentral:lncRNA from 1 species
CAGCCUCCUGAGUAGCUGAGAUUACAGGCACCCGCCACCACGUCCGGCUAAUUUUUGUAUUUUUAGUAGAGACAGGGUUUCACCAUAAUGGUCUGCCUGGUCUCAAACUCCUGACCUCAGGUGAUCCGCCUGCCUUGGCCUCCCAAAGUGCUGGGAUUACAGGCAUGAGCCACCAUGCCCGGCCAGAAAGUUUUAAUGAUAUACAGUUUGUUAUGAAUUAUGUAAAAUAUUUGCAGGAAAAAUACUGGAAGAACACCUGCAGGUAUAGGACCAGUGGGUUUCUCAGGCAAGAAUGCCAGCCUCGUUGCAUCUGUUCAUUUCAUUCUCAUUCCAGCUUGUUUCAUGCAUGAGUUUUGAGAAUGAAAGAAAUUUCAUUCUCAUUCUCAUGGCCAGCUCUUGGUCACCUCUUCCAAGCAGCCUCUCUGAUAUGCCCCCAACUCUCCAGGCUUGCCCAUACAAUAUUUGGGACAUACUUAUAAGGUGACAAGUAGAUUAGCCCCCAGAGUUCAAAGACGGGGCAGACACAUCACCUCACCCAGUGCAGAAACAGACUCUACAACAGUGGUUCUCAAAGCGGGGUCCCUGGACCAGCAGCAUCAGCAUUGCUGUGAACUUGUGAGAAAGGCACAUUCUCAGGCCUCACCCAGAGCUACUGAAUUAGAAACUCUGCAGAUAAUACUCAGCACUGUGUAAGACAGACUGUGUGUGUGUGUGUGUGUGUGUGUGUGUGUGUGUGUGCGCGCGCCUGCACGCACACAGGCUUAGCAAUU